UACGAACUGUGCAAACGUUAUUCGGAUUCACUGGGCUUAAAGGGUGCGUAGGCGGCCAUGUAAGUAGGGUGUGAAAUCCCCCGGCUUAACCGGGGAACUGCGCCCUAAACUGUGUGGCUUGAGUGAGAUAGGGGUGUGUGGAACUUCCGGUGGAGCGGUGAAAUGUGUUGAUAUCGGAAGGAACGCCGGUGGCGAAAGCGACACACUGGGUCUCAACUGACGCUGAGGCGCGAAAGCCAGGGGAGCGAACAGG
rnacentral:rRNA from 1 species